rnacentral:lncRNA from 1 species
GUGACUUUAUCAAUCUCGAGAAUUUAUCGGCUCAGUCUUUUGAAGAUACUUAUAGGGGUAGGGUUGGCUCAGUCUUUUGAAGAUACUUAUAGCGGUAGGGUUGUGUGCAUGCAUGUUUGUGAGUGCAUGUACCGUGUGAUUUGCAAAAGGCAACGUCGGCAUGGACGGUGUGGAUGCUUUUUUUGUUUUCUCGCCGUUCUUCAUGUUGUUAUUGGCAACGCCAAUGGUGUAGAGCAUUUCCCUCUCUGUAUCUGACAUGUCAACAUAAUAUAGUAUAUACAAACUGGGCGCACACAAGAUGAAGCUAUU